rnacentral:rRNA from 1 species
AAGCAUAUCACUAAGCGGAGGAAAAGAAACUAACAAGGAUUCCCCUAGUAACUGCGAGUGAACAGGGAUUAGCCCAGCACCGAAGCCUGUGGUUAUUUGACUGCAAGGCAAUGUGGUGUUUAGGUUUGUUCUUGGCAUUACUGCUCUGCCCCAAGUCCAGCAAUGAGUACGGCAUACCGUUCUGGCCCAUAGAGGGUGAAAGGCCCGUGGGGGUAGAGACCAAGCAUGACAGUUUUGUCCAGAGCUUACCUUGGAGUCGGGUUGUUUGAGAAUGCAGCCCAAAGUGGGUGGUAAACUCCAUCCAAGGCUAAAUACUUGCACGAGUCCGAUAGUAAACAAGUACCGUGAGGGAAAGUUGAAAAGUACUUUGAAGAGAGAGUAAACMRKKSSKKRAACCGCUCAGAGGUAAACGGGUGGAGUUGAACUGCGAUCCUUGGGAAUUCAGCUGAUGAGCAUGAUUUGUGCUUGGGCAUAUUGACCGCCUUUCAGUGUCUGCUUAGCUGCGGGUGCCUGCCUCUGGUGGGUAUGUGUGGUGCGCUUAUCAUGUGCCGCACGCAUUGGAGGGUGUAUGAGUCUGCUUGUCGGUGCACUUUCUCAGGGUGUUCACCACGACCGGCACUGCUGUCUGUCUGCUUUGGUCAAACUGAUCAGGUCUGAUUAACGUUGGGCUUGGUUGGGUUGGCAGGUGACUCACUGGUCCAUUCUGUGGGCUAUGAGUGUUACUAGCCGGCCUUAGUGGAUCUGUACGGUGUGUCGGAGACGGCGGCUUUGCAUAUGCGCUCUGUUCUUCAGGCGUGGUUGAGUCUGGUCGACUUGUUGCUAGUUUCGGCUGGUCAGUUGAUGGCUUGAUCAUGUUCAGUUGGCAGUGGUGUGUGUGUCUUAGUUUGGGCCAAUAGUCUGUGGUGUUGUGGUAGACUAUCCACCUGACCCGUCUUGAAACACGGACCAAGGAGUUUAACAUGUGCGCGAGUCAUUGGGCUUUACGAAACCCAAAGGCGCAGUGAAGGUAAAGGUUUGGCUUGUCCAGGCUGAGGUGAGAUCCUGUUGUUUUGCUCAUUUAUUCCAAGCUGCGAGCAGCAGGCGCAUCACCGGCCCGUCCCAUGACGUAGACAUGUGGCCUUGUGCUAUGUGCACCGUCGGGGCGGAGCAAGAGCGUACAUGUUGAGACCCGAAAGAUGGUGAACUAUGCUUGCGAAGGUUGAAGCCAGAGGAAACUCUGGUGGAGGACCGUAGCGAUUCUGACGUGCAAAUCGAUCGUAUAACGUGAGUAUAGGGGCGAAAGACUAAUCGAACCAUCUAGUAGCUGGUUCCCUCCGAAGUUUCCCUCAGGAUAGCUGGCAUUCUGAGAUAUAAACAGUUUUAUCCGGUAAAGCGAAUGAUUAGAGGCAUUGGGGAGAAAACAUCCUCAACCUAUUCUCAAACUUUAAAUGGGUGAGAAGCUUAACUCGCUUAAAUGGAGUUUUGCAUUGAAUGUGAGUGCCAAGUGGGCCAUUUUUGGUAAGCAGAACUGGCGCUGUGGGAUGAACCAAACGUGCGGUUAAGGUGCCUAACGCGACGCUCAUGAGAUACCACAAAAGGUGUUGGUUGGUCCAGACAGCAGGACGGUGGCCAUGGAAGUCGGAAACCGCUAAGGAGUGUGUAACAACUCACCUGCCGAAUCAACCAGCCCU